ensembl:lncRNA
CUCAGGCUCUGUAGUCACAAUAACUAUUGGCGACUUUGCACAGGUUGCUUAAACUCCCUGUGCCUAAGUUUCCUUAUCCUUAAAAGGACUUGGUAGUAGUAGUACUCUAUAAGGUUGUUGUAUACUGGAGACCAGGAGACGCUAUCAAAAGGAGAGGGACAUUUAAUCCAAUAGGCUUUGAAUGUCACCAUUGAAGAUAAAUUUAAAACGAAAUAAAUACAGCAUGAAGCUGGGAAUAUAACAAGUACACUGAGUCACAGAAUCGACAUCCAAAAUGAUCUCUAUAUGCUGCAAAGCUGUUCCAUAUCUAACAAGGAGAAAUUCAUUUGGAAUAAACUGAAGUACAACACUUAACUUUUUAAAAAUGCCAUUGCUAAUAUUUAAGACACGAAAAACAUAACUUUACUUCAUUUCAUAUAGGAAAAUACGUCUACAGAAUAAAUAUGAAUCAACAGUUUUAUUUGCUUAAUAAAUACUUAUUAAAC